GAUCAAAGUUCAUAUGUGCUACUAGAAGAAACAAGUUUUUUACUGCUGAAAGUGUUGCUAUACUAUUUAUCUGGCGUUUACUGGAUUUCAUCAUGAGUGCUGAGCAGAAAUGUGUUAUUUGCGACGUGAAAGACGAACGUAAAAUAGCAACAUUGUGUGAAAAAGGGUGUAGAGAGUUUAUUUCUGCAGCCAGGGAUAAAGGAUAACAAAUGUAUGUUACACCUGAGAACAUUGUCCACAGUGAGUGUAGAAAAAUUACUGCCACCCGAAUCUACUUCGAGAUGCAAACGAUACCUCUAACAUAGCUAAACGGACACAUUCAUCUGACUUCUUUUCAUUUCGAAUGUCUGUUCUGUGGUACAGAUGCCAAACAAAAUGACAAAAAGGCAUAUGAUGUUUUUCAAGUGAAGACUUUAAAAUUUCAGUCAACAAAAAAAGAUCUGUAAAAGCAGAAAUGAUGCCUGGGGAAGCGAAGUUUUCUGUAGACAUGAUCUAACAGCAGUUGGUGCAAGAUAUCAUCAAAAGUGUAGCACACAUUUCAGAACAGGGUGUCAAGUUCCGAUUCAUCAUCAAACACCUCAAAAUAAUGUAAAACAUAGUUAAGGUAGACCAACAAAAGAAUCAUCUGAAGAGGCAUUUUUGAAAACCAUACAUUAUUUUGAAAACAUCGAAAGUGAAAAAAUACCUUAAAUUAUUAAAUGAUCCCAGGAAAAAGUCUUUGUAAAUAAACAUUCUUCACAUGAUGACAUUGAAACAGAUGGUAAUUAAUUAUUCAUAUGUUUGUACAAUGGUAAAACAAAUGAAACAUUAAACACAUUAAGGUACAGACAAUUCAUUACGAAGGCAACAAGCACAUCGGUAGUAAAGAUACAGACCCUACCUCCUACAGAGGCAGCUGCAAAGUUUCAUAGGUUUAGAGUGCACUGCCAUUAAAGUACAGACAGACAUGGAUUGAAAGGGAAACAAACCCUCUUGAAUUGGGAUCGUACUAACGUGGUGAUAAAUGAAAACUUUUUCCCACUAUUGAAUUUACAGUUAAUGUUUUAAAGAACCAGGUCUUAUUACUAAGGACAACAGACUAAUUUCAUAAUAGAGCAUAUUUUUACACUAUACCGCAUCGCAGAUUUUUGUCCUCACAGUGCUUUUAUUUUUGUACAUUACGGCUUUGUGUACGUUUGCUGCUGGCUGAAAAUUGUAGUUUAGUGUCGAUUUUAAAACAGUUUCAACAUCUUACUGUGGUGACCUUUUCUAUAUAUACUGUAGUACAGUCACUGUUGCUCUGGGAUUCUUUUCCUUAAUGUUUUUUUUAUUAUACUGUUGUUGAUAUUAUAACAUUUGUUACAUCUAGUGCGAGUUUCAAGGAAAUAGUUUAAAGAUAUUGCAUGCAUGUUUUAUUGAUGGAUGGACCCGCCCGCUUAGCUCAUUAGGGAGAGCACCGACCUACGGAUCGCAGGGUCGUGAAUUGGAUCCUCGGGCGGGUCGUAUAUUCUCCAUGACGAUUUGAUAAGAUAUUGUGUCUGAAAUAAUUCAUCCUCCACCUCUGAUUCAUGUUGGGAAGUUUGCAGUUACUUUCGGAGAACAGGUUUGUACUGGUGCAGAAUACAGGAACACCGGUUAGGUUAACUGACCGCCGUUACAUAACUGAAAUACUGUUGAAAAAACGGCGUUAAACCCAACACAAAUAAAACUGAUGGGUGGGGUAAAUCUAUAGUGUAAAUUAGUGCAUUUAUUAGUAAAAGUUACAGCAUAGUUUAGUAUCAGCUUUAAUUUAUAUGAUAUUUUAUAUCAAUCAAUGCCUCUGAUUGAAGAAAUAAACCAACGUAUAGGUUUAAGCUAAUGUAUGUUACCUAAUGAAUGAACCUCUUGAUUCGUCUGAAUCAUUCAAUUUUAAUGAGGGUGCCCUUCAUAAUCUAAUUUUUUUUUACAUUUUCCAAUGGGAAUUUUUUUGAGGACUUUUUUUCUAAAAUGCUGUAAUAUUUAAAGAUUAUAAAACAAUAAAAACAUUUCAUGUUGGAAUUUAUUUAACCUUUUGACAUAAUAUGUGGUAAUAUGACCG
rnacentral:lncRNA from 1 species